rnacentral:SRP_RNA from 1 species
GCUGGAUGUGGUGGCCUGCACCUCUAGUCCCAGCUACUCCAGAGGCUGAGGCAGGAGGAUUGCUUGAGUCUGGGAGAUCUGGGCUAUAAGUGCGCUAUGCUUUCAGGAUAUCCGCCCUAAAUUCAGUAUCAAUAUGGUGAGCUCCUGGAAGCAGGGGACCACCAGGUUGCCUAAGGAGGGGUGACCUGGUCCAGGUUGAGACUGAGCAUGUCAAAACUUCCAUGCUGAUCAGUAGUGGGAUCGCACCUGUCAGUAGCCACUGCAGUACAGCCUGGACAACAUAGCAAGACCUUGUCUCU